rnacentral:rRNA from 1 species
AUUGAACGCUGGCGGCAUGCCUUACACAUGCAAGUCGAACGGUAGCACGGGAGCAAUCCUGGUGGCGAGUGGCGAACGGGUGAGUAAAGUAUCGGAACGUGCCCAGUCGUGGGGGAUAACGUAGCGAAAGUUACGCUAAUACCGCAUACGAUCUAUGGAUGAAAGCGGGGGAUCGCAAGACCUCGCGCGAUUGGAGCGGCCGAUAUCAGAUUAGGUAGUUGGUGGGGUAAAGGCUCACCAAGCCGACGAUCUGUAGCUGGUCUGAGAGGACGACCAGCCACACUGGGACUGAGACACGGCCCAGACUCCUACGGGGGGCAGCAGUGGGGAAUUUUUGACAAUGGGCGAAAGCCUGAUCCAGCCAUGCCGCGUGCAGGAUGAAGGCCUUCGGGUUGUAAACUGCUUUUGUACGGAACGAAAAGGUUUGGCCUAAUAAGCUGAGCUCAUGACGGUACCGUAAGAAUAAGCACCGGCUAACUACGUGCCAGCCGCCGCGGUAA